GGGAUUGCUUGCAAUCCUGAGUAGAGUGGCGCACGGGUGAGUAACACGUAGAUAAUCUACCUUCAAGCCUGGAAUAACUAUUCGAAAGGAUAGCUAAUACCGGAUAAAGUUGUUCAACUCAAGUUGAAUUAUGAAAGAUUGCCUCUUCAUGAAAGCAAUUGUUUGGAGAUGAGUUUGCGGACCAUUAGUUAGUUGGUGGGGUAAAGGCCUACCAAGACUACGAUGGUUAGCUGGUCUGAGAGGAUGAUCAGCCACACUGGAACUGGUACACGGUCCAGACUCCUACGGGAGGCAGCAGUGAGGAAUUUUGCGCAAUGGGGGAAACCCUGACGCAGCAACGCCGCGUGAGUGAAGAAGGCCCUUGGGUCGUAAAGCUCUGUCGACAGGGAAGAAAUUGUAUUAUUCUAAUAGGGUAAUACAUUGACGGUACCUGUAGAGGAAGCACCGGCUAACUCCGUGCCAGCAGCCGCGGUAAUACGGGGGGUGCAAGCGUUAUUCGGAAUUAUUGGGCGUAAAGGGCGCGUAGGCGGUCUUGUCGGUCAGAUGUGAAAGCCCAGGGCUCAACCCUGGACGUGCAUUUGAAACAGCAAGACUUGAAUACUGGAGAGGAGAGCGGAAUUCCUGGUGUAGAGGUGAAAUUCGUAGAUAUCAGGAGGAACACCGAUGGCGAAGGCAGCUCUCUGGACAGAUAUUGACGCUGAGGCGCGAAGGCGUGGGUAGCGAACAGGAUUAGAUACCCUGGUAGUCCACGCAGUAAACGAUGUUCACUAGGUGUGGCGGGUAUUAAAAUCUGCUGUGCCCAAGCUAACGCAUUAAGUGAACCGCCUGGGGAGUACGGCCGCAAGACUAAAACUCAAAGGAAUUGACGGGGGCCCGCACAAGCGGUGGAGCAUGUGGUUUAAUUCGAUGCAACGCGAAGAACCUUACCAGCCCUUGACAUCCUGCGAACUUUCUAGAGAUAGAUUGGUGCCUUCGGGAGCGCAGUGACAGGUGCUGCAUGGCUGUCGUCAGCUCGUGUCGUGAGAUGUCGGGUUAAGUCCCGUAACGAGCGCAACCCUUGUCCUUAGUUGCCAGCACAUAAUGGUGGGAACUCUAAGGAGACUGCCGGUGAUAAACCGGAGGAAGGUGGGGAUGACGUCAAGUCAUCAUGGCCCUUAUGGGCUGGGCUACACACGUGCUACAAUGGCCGGUACAGAGGGUUGCGAAGCAGCGAUGUGGAGCCAAUCCCAGAAAACCGGUCGUAGUCCGGAUUGCAGUCUGCAACUCGACUGCAUGAAGUCGGAAUCGCUAGUAAUCGCGAAUCAGAAUGUCGCGGUGAAUACGUUCCCGGGCCUUGUACACACCGCCCGUCACACCAUGGGAGUUGGUUGCACCAGAAGUAGGUAGCCUAACCUUCGGGAGGGCGCUUACCACGGUGUGGUCAAUGACUGGGGUGAAGUCGUAACAAGGUA
rnacentral:rRNA from 1 species